rnacentral:lncRNA from 1 species
UAUAAAGCAAGCUUCAUUUUAAGAAUCCACAUCUCUUAUAUAAACAUAAGAACAAACGAUUUAAGAAUCUAUUACUCCACAGAUACUGCACAAAAUUCUCUCUUAUAGCCGUACAUUUAUUUCAAAACUUUCCCGAUCUUCUAAGAAAAUCCUUUUUUUAUCCUUCUGUUACUUACAUCAUUUUUACCAUUCCAUUUACUAUUGCUCAAUUAUCAAAAACGAAACUAUACGAUAGUUGGCAAAAUAUCUUCGGCGAAUUUUUGAUCGAACGACAUAUGGGGAAUCAAGUUCCGCUACGUUCGAUCACUUUAUAAAUACUCGACGGAAACAGAUGUCGACGACAAGUGGAAACGACACUGGCCGCGUACAAUGUAUCAAGCCGGUGUCAAACUGACGUUCGUGCGCUCGCUCGCGCUUUGAAACCAACGCGCGCCAUUUCAUUGCGAUAGCGAGGCAUCGAGCUGGAUCUGUCAGUAAUUGCCUCGAGUCGUGAACCGUUAUUGUCAGGCAAACGUUCCAGCGAUCGUAAAGAUCAUUCGGUAGGCGAUCUUGAAAUAUAAAUUUACCGACGUGGAGAACGCGCUCACCGCGUGCCACAGUGCCACGCCACGGUCUUUUCUAACCCGUGUGCAAAUCCGCAGGAAGUGAACGCGGUCGCGAGACGUGGGUGUAGUGUACCGUGUAUAUGUACGUGUGGCCACCGUUUGGCAUCGUACCAACCCGCGUUUCUGGUCUCUUAAGCAAGAAAACGAGACGAUACGGAGAACAGGAUACGCCUUCGAACGAUCUUACCAAGCUUUUUAAUUGGCAACUUGGAAGAAUGAACGAAGAUGAUUGAAAUGGAUAAAAGGAAGUUUGUGUUUGGGAAAAUGUGAUUAGUGUGAUUGUGUACUUAGCAUUACGAAAGAGGAUUACUUAAUCUGAAGAAGAAAAACGGCGCUCCAGUUUCUAAGGACGGACGAACAAACUGAACGAACAGAGAUAUAUGAGAAUAUGGUUGAAUGGAUUCAACGAUAGCUUCUGUUGUUUCAACCUGACGAAUCCCGUGGCUCUUGAGUGCUUUUCGGCACGAGGAAUUCGUAAAUAUUUCGCUCAUAUGCUAAAAUAAAGCGCCUCGUAGAGUGUGUCAGGUCUUGUAAGCCUCGUUCGCUUAUUCAUCGGUUGUUAUAUUGAAAAUCGAGAUCUCCGAUAAAAUAACUUUCACCAGUUGAUAUAUUUAUCAUUUUCUUAUACAUGCUAAAACUGCUGGGGUAAACAAAGUGACUAAUUCAUAAUAUUACAUCGAAAGUUUAUAAAUUGGCAGUGGUGAAUUUUUAGAAGUUUCAAUAAUAUUUUCAGUCAAAUAUAUCAAUAAGAACUUAUUUUUCACUUUGCCAAAUUUACAUGAUAUUCAAAUGAUUCUAAUAUUAAAAUACACUAAAUAUCUUAACGGAUUCGUUACUAUAUGUUCAUGACGUUGUUUAUUGGCAUACAUACGGUGAAAAUGUUUACGCUUGUAUCACAUAAUAAUGUUAUACUUUAAUUUCAUGGUUCUCUAACGUAUGUUUCAUGUUUUAAUCAAGCCUCAUAGUCAAACAAGAUAAUCAUAUCCAUCGCUCAUACGUAAGAAACAGCUAUGUAUACGAUUCAAUAAAAUUCUUACAAAAGUUUCAACUGUUCUACUUGGUUCCAUAAAUCUGUCCUGAUAUACUAUCCUUCGAUAAAUAAACUAUAUUUUUACACCCGCAC